rnacentral:tRNA from 1 species
GACUUAAAAUCCGUCGACUUUAUAAGUUGUGAGGGUUCAAGUCCCUCUAUCCCCAA